ACUCCCUUAGUACAAUCAGUACCAGCGACUUCCAAUCACUGAAUCUUGGUUAAACCCCAAGAGAGAGUA
rnacentral:tRNA from 1 species